CUCUCAAACACUCACGAGAAAAGAAAAGUCCUAGAGAGAGAAAGCUCGAGAAAGUUUGAGAGAGAAAGAGAGAGAAAUGGAGGCCUUCGUUUGCGAAACAGAAUCAUGGGUUUCUUCAAUCAAUGAAAUCCCAGAUGAGCAAACCAAUCAAUUGAUUCGAACAUCGUCUUCAUCUUCCGGAUUCACCCAGGAAACCGACGAGGAAGAAUGGCCGAAGUUGAACAGGUUGAAGAGCAAGAAGAAGAAGAAGAAGCAGGUUUUGCUUGAAGGGUAUGUAGAGGCGGCGGACGACGAUGAUCUGUCGAGGACCAAGAGCUUGACGGACGAGGAUCUCGACGAGCUUAAAGGGUGUUUGGAUCUGGGAUUUGGGUUCAGCUACGAAGAGAUUCCCGAGCUCUGUAACACCUUGCCGGCUCUCGAGCUUUGUUACUCUAUGAGCCAGAAGUUCAUGGACGAGCACCAGAAGUCGCCGGAGAACUCUCCGGCCGCGGUGGAUUCGGUUUCGACUCAAAUUGCCAAUUGGAAGAUCUCUAGUCCUGGUGACCAUCCCGAGGAUGUGAAAGAAAGGCUCAAAUACUGGGCACAGGCCGUGGCGUGCACUGUCAAAUUAUGCAACUGAGAAAGAUUUCGACUUAAUGGAUUAACCCUUUGAGGAAAUUUAAAGAAUUGAUGGACAACUUCCUCGAGGUCAAACACCUAUGUCAUCGACCUUGAUCUUGAGAUUGUGCUUAAUUGUUUUACUCUGUUAUGGCUCCUAUCAGGAAUGAAUGUUCCUGCUGUUCUAGAAGCUGUUGAUGAUGGAUGUAUAUUGAGGAAGAGGAAGAUGAAGAAUCUUUCAGCGGUGAGUCUCCAUUAGAGCUUCACCAAUCACUUGCUCACCUCUUUCUUUGCUGAGGUAACUAACCUAACUGAGUCUUAACAUUGUGCGUUUUUCUGGUUCUCACGGUUAUGACCCUAAUACGGAAGUUGCAGUUGUCUGAUGCAAACAAUGCUUAACUGUGCUGACUAACUCUUAAAGUGUGUUUCUGUCCUAUGGAUAGAUUUAUACCCUUUCGGCUGGAAUUACAGACGCAGUUGGAGGGAGAGAGGAUUGGAUGCCUUUGUCCUGACUGACCAUGAAAUUUCAUUCGUAAACUCGCAACUUUGUUUCUCUGAUUUGUUUUCAUGACAAUAGUUUCUCGUGAUUGUACGAAGAACUGGAUUUUCGUAUUGAUGUCUAACGUUAUCGAUACAUUCUUGCUGUUCUAAUUGAGUUAUAAUUGUUGCAACAGAGCAGUGAAACGAUGAUUUUCAUUUCGGAAACUUCAGUAGGCUGUUAUUUUCGGUAGCGAAUUAUAAACACAGACUUCAUAAUUCAGAUUAGAUUUGUAAGUACAGGUAACACAAUGCAUGUUAGAUUUGUAAAACUUGAAGUGUUUGGGAUUACAUUACGUAUGGAAUAGGACCGUAUGCCGCCGUAGACGUGUUCGAUGGUUUAGAUGCAUAUUUGACUGGGCAACCUUGUGUUUGAAGAGUUUAGGAUGUGAUUUUGCAGCCUGUUUUAACUUGUUCCUGAGCAAUGACCUGUUUGGUUGAGUUGGAGUUUUGGAAUCUUUUUAACUUGUUCUGUAGGAUUAUCUUUUCAUUAUUCUGUGGAAUAUAAUUCUAGUUCUGGUGUUUGGAA